rnacentral:rRNA from 1 species
CUGCCAGCCGCCGCGGUAAUACGAAGGGGGCUAGCGUUGCUCGGAAUCACUGGGCGUAAAGGGUGCGUAGGCGGGUCUUUAAGUCAGGGGUGAAAUCCUGGAGCUCAACUCCAGAACUGCCUUUGAUACUGAAGAUCUUGAGUUCGGGAGAGGUGAGUGGAACUGCGAGUGUAGAGGUGAAAUUCGUAGAUAUUCGCAAGAACACCAGUGGCGAAGGCGGCUCACUGGCCCGAUACUGACGCUGAGGCACGAAAGCGUGGGGAGCAAACAGGAUUAGAUACCCUGGUAGUCCACGCCGUAAACGAUGAUUGCUAGUUGUCGGGAUGCAUGCAUUUCGGUGACGCAGCUAACGCAUUAAGCAAUCCGCCUGGGGAGUACGGUCGCAAGAUUAAAACUUAAAGGAAUUGACGG